UUACAGCCAUAUCACGUUGAAAAACCGAUUCUCGUACGAUCAGCGAAGUUAAGCAACGUAGAACCUGGUCGCUACCUCGAUCGGUUACCGCUUUUGAAUACCAGGUGCUGUAAG